UACGUAGGAUGCAAGCGUUGUCCGGAAUUAUUGGGCGUAAAGAGCUCGUAGGCGGUCUGUCGCGUCGGCUGUGAAAACCCGUGGCCCAACCCCGGGCCUGCAGUCGAUACGGGCAGACUAGAGUGCGGUAGGGGAGAUUGGAAUUCCUGGUGUAGCGGUGGAAUGCGCAGAUAUCAGGAGGAACACCGAUGGCGAAGGCAGAUCUCUGGGCCGUAACUGACGCUGAGGAGCGAAAGCGUGGGGAGCGAACAGG
rnacentral:rRNA from 1 species